rnacentral:tRNA from 1 species
UCCGAUGUGGUCUAGUGGUGAGAAGCCCGCGCCCACCGAGGAGGCCGGGGUUCAAUUCCCCGCAUCGGAA